CACGCACGCACAUACACUGCACACACUCACACACACACACACACACACACACACACACACACACACACACACACACACACACACACACACACACACACACACACACACACACACACACACACACACACAAACACUGUGGUCUUCCCAAGAGAAGUGCCUUUACAAACUCUUCCACACGUCGUAUGGCUUACCGUGCUUACAUUCUGAUAUUUUUGCCAAAUUGUUAUUAUAUGGUUGCAUAAGGAUAUAAACGUUUCCAUCCUUAUCCUGCUGACUUAAACGCACGCGCGCACAGACAACACGCGCAUCAGCACUCAGCUUGUUGGUGCGUUCCGACCAUCGAGAACACGGGUUGACGUGUUUUCACGUCCGCACUUCCUCAACACCCGGGAUGACGUUCAGGGCUUCUCUGUACUUCGGGAAGUCUCCAGUUCGCCGACCCACCUUCAUCAUGGAGACAGUGGGAACUGUCGGUCUCGGAUCCACAAGUUAAUCUGUCGUUCAGGAGGUCCUGCAUCAUAGGUGGUGAAUUCUGACCAUCUCGUUUCUGGGAGAAACUGGACAUCAAGUUAUUUCGACGGCUUGUUCGACGAAGUUUUCCAAAAGAUGCUGGCUGGGUUGCAGAGGAAGGUCGGACAGGGUCACUAGGCCACAGUCGCCCUUCAGCCAACCAUGGAACGAGAGGGAUCCUUUAGGAGAGCCUUGCCUGGAGAAGAGACGGUCUAAAACAUCUCGGAGUGUUUCUCGGGAAUGAGGCUGUGGAGCCUACAGAGCCGUCUGAGGCAGGGCAGCAGCUCCUCCAGCCUGACCGACCUGUCCCAGGGGGGAGG
ensembl:lncRNA